UGGAAUGGAAACUCUGUGCCAGUCUACAAAUGCUGCCUUGAACACUUGAAAAACCCAGCGCUCGCCUCAGGUGUAACAUGAGUCUUUGGAGCCAACGUGAAAGGAAUUUGUUAGUGAAGCUCCUGAAUGCGAGGCGCUGAGAGUCCAUCACACUCCAUUACUGGGCGCCGCUGCCGAGUGACUGCUUCAAGCACACCGCAGUGCGUGAUGUGGAAGGGCCCUGGUUUCCUCAGUCAUUGCUCCUUUUCCUCUCGGCUUCCGAACUUCAAGGGACCUCUCAAUGAGACUUGGGAUGGCAAGCGAGGCUGUGAUUGUGACAGCGGGAGAGCAGGCUAGCCAGAUUCAUCUCUACGCUUCACGUUUUUUUCACAGAGUUUACCUUUCGUUACGCUUGGCUCCAUGAACACCGCUAAUCAGAACUUGAAAGUAAGGUCCUAUCACUGAAGAUGACAUCUACUUGAAUGUGAAGCACAGGAAGAAAUCAAGCUGGUACCAACAUGGAAGCCUCCUCCCUACUGCUCCUGGGUUGUCACGGGAGAAGGCUCAGGAAGGGUGUCAGAGCCAGUGCCUCCAGAGAACUGCUACAGCAUUUUCCACACAUGAUAGGGCACAUAAGAACCCAACGGCUGUGGCUGCGUACACAAGAUCUGUACAAGAUCAGGACAGUGAAAAUUCCAGCAUGGAUGAAGCAGCUGAGGAGAUACUGACGACAGUUGCUUCAUUUAUCCUCUUGGGGUGUAUGUGAAUAACUGAAUUCUCAUGGGACCUACUGAAGAGUCCCCAGUGUCUCUGAGAAGCAGCGAGUACCUCUUACUUUGGUGUAGAAUCAAGUUCAUUACCUAAGAAACGAUGAAAGCACAGCAGCCCUCGGAUAAUUAAAUGCCCCCCCCC